AAACAGCCCCCUAUCUUUUGAUUCUUUGGCAGUUUUGGACCCCCAAGGCAAAAAAUAAUUUAAAAAAUUGACACGUGGCACCUCACUUAUGGUGCCACGUCAGCGUUGACCGAGUCAACAAUGGACUGGGGGUCCAAAACUGCCAAAGAAUCAAAAGAUAGGGGGCUGUUU
rfam:Medicago truncatula strain A17 chromosome 3, whole genome shotgun sequence.